GACGAACGCUGGCGGCGUGCUUAACACAUGCAAGUCGAACGGAAAGGCCCUGCUUUUGUGGGGUGCUCGAGUGGCGAACGGGUGAGUAACACGUGAGUAACCUGCCCUUGACUUUGGGAUAACUUCAGGAAACUGGGGCUAAUACCGGAUAGGAGCUCCUGCUGCAUGGUGGGGGUUGGAAAGUUUCGGCGGUUGGGGAUGGACUCGCGGCUUAUCAGCUUGUUGGUGGGGUAGUGGCUUACCAAGGCUUUGACGGGUAGCCGGCCUGAGAGGGUGACCGGCCACAUUGGGACUGCGGUACGGCCCAGACUCCUACGGGAGGCAGCGGUGGGGAAUAUUGCACAAUGGGCGGAAGCCUGAUGCGGCAGCGCCGCGUGCGGGAUGACGGCCUUCGGGUUAUAAACCGCUUUCGCCUGUGACGAAGCGUGAGUGACGGUAAUGGGUAAAGAAGCACCGGCUAACUACGUG
rnacentral:rRNA from 1 species